rnacentral:rRNA from 1 species
GAUCCUGGCUCAGGACGAACGCUGGCGGCGUGCUUAACACAUGCAAGUCGAACGGAGUGCCCAUGACAGAGGUUUCGGCCAAUGGAUUGGGUUACUUAGUGGCGGACUGGUGAGUAACGCGUGAGGAACCUGCCUUUCAGAGGGGGACAACAGUUGGAAACGACUGCUAAUACCGCAUGACACAUUUUGAUCGCAUGGUCGGAAUGUCAAAGAUUUAUCGCUGAAAGAUGGCCUCGCG